CCAAAGGCUCUUUUAAGAGCCAACUAAUGAAUGAAAAUAUGAAAAU
rfam:Salmo salar isolate Sally breed double haploid chromosome ssa24, whole genome shotgun sequence.